UCGGGAAUUUUGGGCAAUGGGCGAAAGCCUGACCCAGCAACGCCGCGUGAAGGAUGAAGUAUUUCGGUAUGUAAACUUCGAAAGAAUGGGAAGAAUCAAUGACGGUACCAUUUAUAAGGUCCGGCUAACUACGUGCCAGCAGCCGCGGUAAUACGUAGGGACCAAGCGUUGUUCGGAUUUACUGGGCGUAAAGGGCGCGUAGGCGGCAAUUCAAGUCAGCUGUGAAAUCUCUGGGCUUAACCCAGAACGG
rnacentral:rRNA from 1 species